rnacentral:rRNA from 1 species
CAGCAGCCGCGGUAAUACGAAGGGGGCUAGCGUUGUUCGGAAUUACUGGGCGUAAAGCGCACGUAGGCGGAUAUUUAAGUCAGGGGUGAAAUCCCAGAGCUCAACUCUGGAACUGCCUUUGAUACUGGGUAUCUUGAGUAUGGAAGAGGUGAGUGGAAUUCCGAGUGUAGAGGUGAAAUUCGUAGAUAUUCGGAGGAACACCAGUGGCGAAGGCGGCUCACUGGACGACUGUUGACGCUGAGGUGCGAAAGCGUGGGGAGCAAACAGGAUUAGAUACCCCUGUAGUCCCUGUCUCUUAUAC